rnacentral:rRNA from 1 species
GACGAACGCUGGCGGCGUGCUUAACACAUGCAAGUCGAACGGAGAGGCCCUGCUUUUGUCGGGUGCACGAGUGGCGAACGGGUGAGUAACACAUGAGUAAACUACCUUCGACUUAGAGAUAACUUCCGAUAACUAGGGCUAGUACCGGCCAGGUGACACUACUGCUUGGUGGGGGUUGGAAAGAUUGGGCGGUUGGGGAUGGACUCGCGGCUUAUUAGCUUGUUGGUGGGGUAGUGGCUUACCAAGGCAUUGACGGGUAGCCGGCCUGUGAGGGUAGCCGGCGCCAUGGGGCCUGAGAGACGGCGCAGACGCCUACGGGAGGCAGCAGUGGAGAGUAUUGCACAAUGGCGGGACGCCUGAUGCAGCAGCGCCGCGUGCGGGAUGAUGUGCUGCGGGUGAUAAACCGCUUUCUCCUGUGUAGAAGCGUGAGUGACGGUAAUGGGUAAAGAAGCAACGGCUAACUACGUG